rnacentral:misc_RNA from 1 species
UGUCGCUUUGGUGCCCCUUGCGUCUUCUCUCUUCUGUAGGGCUGUGCGGUGACGGAGUGCGCUGCUGCGUAAAAUGGAGCGGCACAAGAACAGUUCUGUGUUCUUGACAGGUAUUAACGUUAGCGAUGGGCGAGGUCAGGACUUGUCUGAGGAUGAAGAUGAGGGCGUUGGUGUCCUUGUCCCGUUCCGUGUGCCCCCCAUGCCGCGCCCCGUCGUUUCGCAUCGCUAUGUGUCUCUCAACCACCCCUCCGGCAGCCGCAGUAGCGUGUCCCGAACGCUGCUGCACUGGGAAAAGCAGAUGCUUCUCUCACGCCUGCAGAAAAAUCCGUGUGUCGACACAGAGGUCUUUCAAGAGCGUCUUUCACGGAUGAAAAUACGGAACGAUCGUCAUUACAUUCGCCAGGUGUGCGACAGGGUGGCGGAGGCGCGUCAGGCCGAGGCGACGGCGAGGCAGGCGGCCUUUUUUAGCGCAGAGGAACGGCGCGACUUUAUCUUCUACAAGCACCACCAUUUGGUGGAAAUCAAGCGACGGGAGCAGACUCUGACGCGGGCGCGCAAGUGGUCUAUCAUCGUCGUGUGCCACGUCUUUCUUGCGGCUCUCAUGCAGGAACGACGAGUGCAGGAGGCGCUGGACACUUUUAGUUUCUUGUUGGCCCCGAUGAUUCGGCGAUUCCUCGCGCUGCGUGCGCGGCGCCGAGAGGCGGAAGAGCUGACGCGCCGUCAUCUUCGAGACAUUCCCUUCCCCUUUCCACAUGUUAUACAGAGUAUGACCGGCACGUUCUUCGAGGGCUGGCCGCCGGCGCUGCUAGAGAAGUUGGUGGAGAAGUCGAAACCGUGCUACCUGCGCAGAGGAAGAUACCUGAUGCACGAGGGAGACGUGGGCCGCGUUAUGUUCAUGAUCACCUUGGGCACCGUCUCAAUCGUGCUCCGUAAAAAAGGCCGCGAAAAGCGCCGCACAAAGGAGAACUCCAGCGGCGUCCUACAGAUCAAGGCACCUUGCUACGCGGGUGAGUUUGCGCUGGUCUGCAAGGAGCCGCGGUCGGCAUCUAUCAUCUGCGAGACGGACAUCGGCUACUGGGCCGUGUCUCCGGAGGAGUACGAGGAAGUUGCGAAAUACCUCAGUCCGGCGGUUGCCAGCAAGCAACGUGAGGCCACAGAUGUGCGCCGUCGCCAGAACCUCAAGCGCUUUUUUCCGCUGCACGUGGCGUUUCUUCGCAACUUCCCGUACUUUGCACAAUUCAGCGAUAAGAGUCUGACGCAGCUGAUUGACAGCGUCGAGCCGAUUGUCCUGCACGACGGCGACUAUCUCUUCCGCGAAGGCGAAAUCGACUCCUCAACUUACUUUGUACAGGACGGCGAGGCUGUCUUGCGCGACCGCGACGGGGCUGAUCGAAAAGUCUUGAAGGGCAGCUGCAUUGGCGUCUUUGAGUGUUCCUGCGGCGUUAACGAGGCGAAGCGCAGCUCCAUUGUGAGCGUGAACUACUGCGACAUAUGGCGCCUGAGCCGAGAUGUGUUGAUUGAGAUAGGUAUGAGCGAGCCAGCGGCGCUGCUGCACUGCCGCGAUGCAGCCAAGAAGGAUCGGGCGCUGGAGAUGCACAAGGACAAGGUGGCGUUGCAGUGUUUCCGGAAGGACCCAUACAUGUCCUUCUGUUGCCCUCGCUCCACGCUCGCCCACCUUUUCGAGGCAAGCACCCCGACCGUCUUCCUCAACGGUGAGCGCCUCGCCCUCAUGGGAAAGACCUUGAAUGCCCUGUCCGUAGUCAUGAGCGGUGUCCUUGACAUCACCAUGUCACGGAACGAGCAACACAUAACCAUGAGGGUGCACGUCACAGCUAGCUGCGUCAGCGAUGCGGCUUUUCGAAACGCUAGCGCCCCGUUCCGCGGUCUGAGCCGCGUCAUUGGUGCAUAUGAGUUCGCCUCGUCACUUUCUCAGUACGCGUGCACCGUGACGAGUGUUGGGCUGACAGAGGCCUUCGUAAUUGAGCGGGCACAGCUAGACAUGAAGGUCCCUGCCGCCCUCCGCGGCCUGAUGCACGACAGCGCGCGCAGCAGGGAGUGUGUCAGUCGUGCCUACAAACAAGAAAAUGCGGGACUGCUCUACAACGACGAAGCCUUGAGCUUCUCACGGCUCUACAGAGAGCUGCGGACCCUCGAGGGUGAGACGCGCAAGUGAACAUGUAUAUACCCUCCAUCCACGACCCGCACAGUAGUUACAUGUGCGCAAGCGCGAUGGUCCUCCUCGCUAGCGAUAUCUGCUCGUCUUAUUGCGGUCAACCACCGCUUUUGUUGUUGCUUCGCGUGAGUGCCAGUAAAGCGUUCUUUCACUUCUCUUCCUUUAGUGCGCCCUCCCCCUCUUUUGGCUUGUCUCCGCGUUUCCCGAUCUCCCUCAUUGCCCCCCCUCCCCCCCCGGCCCCAACACACGUACGCAUAUUCAUACCGACACCCCUGACGGCUUGCGGCGUAG